GAUGAACGCUGGCGGCGUGCCUAAUACAUGCAAGUCGAGCGAACGGACGAGAAGCUUGCUUCUCUGAUGUUAGCGGCGGACGGGUGAGUAACACGUGGAUAACCUACCUAUAAGACUGGGAUAACUUCGGGAAACCGGAGCUAAUACCGGAUAAUAUUUUGAACCGCAUGGUUCAAAAGUGAAAGACGGUCUUGCUGUCACUUAUAGAUGGAUCCGCGCUGCAUUAGCUGGUUGGUAAGGUAACGGGUUACCAAGGCAACGAUGCAUAACCGACCUGUGAGGGUGAUCGGCCACACUAGAGCUGGGCCACGGUCCAGACUCCUACGGGAGGCACCAGUAGGGAAUCUGACGCAAUGGGCGAAAGCCUGACGGAGCAGCGCCGAGUGAGUGAUGGAGGUCUUCGGAUCGUAAAACUGUGUUAUGAGGGAAGAACAUAUGUGGAAGUAAAUGUGGACAUAUUGACGGUACCUAAUAAGAAAGCAACGGCUAACUACGUG
rnacentral:rRNA from 1 species